rnacentral:rRNA from 1 species
AGCCAUGCCGCGUGUGUGAGAAGGCCUUCGGUUGUAAAGCAUUUCAGUAGGGAGGAAGGUAGUGUAGUUAACACCUUGCACUAUUUGACGUUACCUACAGAAGAAGCACCGGCUAACUCCGUGCCAGCAGCCGCGGUAAUACGGAGGGUGCGAGCGUUAAUCGGAAUUACUGGGCGUAAAGCGCAUGCAGGCGGCCUGUUAAGUCAGAUGUGAAAGCCCGGGGCUUAACCUCGGAAUUGCAUUUGAAACUGGCAGGCUAGAGUCUUGUAGAGGGGGUAGAAUUUCAGGUGUAGCGGUGAAAAUGCGUAGAGAUCUGAAGGAAUACCAGUGGCGAAGGCGGCCCCCUGGACAAAGACUGACGCUCAGAUGCGAAAGCGUGGGGAGCAAACAGGAUUAGAUACCCUGGUAG